rnacentral:lncRNA from 13 species
CAGGUGUCUGAAGUGACUGUGGGGACUGCUGGUGCUGUCCUGGCUUUGUUCUUCUGUGCCUCAUGCUGCAGUGAAGCUCUAGGACAGAGUGAGGGGCAAGGAAAGGAGUAUUUUUGAAAUUCACCAACUAAACCUGCAAUGGACCCUGUGCAUGCACCCAAGCCCACACAUCUGCAGAAAGGUGGCUUCAGAAAUCCCCAGUGGAAGACACACAAACAAGAAGCAGGAUGAUGGACUCUUCAUGGAACACAGCUUCUAGAUGUGCAAGCCUCAAGCACCAUCCCUCCAGAUUUCUGUAAAUCCUGCUGGAACUCCUUGGCACCUUUAGGAAGGUACACAUGUAUUGCUGCAAGUCUGGCCUUGUGCUAUUUUGGAAAAGGGUUUUGAAAGCUACACCCAACAUUAAGA